GUUCCUCAAGAGCUCUCAGCCUGAAUCAAAAUCGUGGAGUGUGAAUACUCUGAACAGCCAGGCCUAUGUGGUUCCUUUCAAAGCAGCAACAAUAGAUGAAGCUUUUUCUAGCAGCAUGGCUGAUACCACAAUAUUUCAUCAGAUGUGCUUCCUACAGCCUUGGUUGAAACCUUUCCUUGAAAUUACUAUAAAUUUAGAGCAAGCAUCUACAAAUCAAGCCCAUUCUAGGAACCAGGAAGAGACUCUCUGCUUCAGCCUGGUGAUGAGCAUAAGCUGUCAACACCUUCUUCGUGCCCAUGGAGGGUGGGAGCAGAGCUCUGCCUGCCAGCCCAGCCUCUCCUUGCGAUCAAAGCUGCCCUGGAGGUCCCCUGCAAAGGACACAGCCUAUUGAGUGAGCAUAUUGUUCAUUCAUUUUCUGCAGAAGGCACCUUGAGGAGGGCUGGGAAUCUCUGUGUUUCAAAUGAAGUGUCAUAGAGCAGCAGGGUGCGGGGCAGGGAGUGGUUUGGGGAGCACCAAGGGUGCCCUUGCUCUGCCAGCACCAGUCCCCAGUGCCAGAGCCCAGGGUGGGGGAACAGGGUCAGUCAUGGCCCCUGCCAUGGUGCCAUGUGGCCAAGGCCAGCAAAAAGCAGUCUGUUAUAAUUAUUUAGCAGUAUACUUCUGUUAGAAACAUGAAUUUUAGUGGAAUUUAGUGUCUCUCACGCUCAAGCAAAAAGUUUUCUAAGAAAAGAAAAGCUCCUAAAUUCUCUUUUCCCGCUGGUUAUGUCAGAAAGUAGUAAUUAUUUUUCUUAACUGCUAAAGAUCCAGUGACUCUUUUUUGUACAUGUCUGUUCUUAACCUUCAUCAGAGGCCAGUGUUUCUGUCAGACCUGCAAAUGGCUGCAGAAGCAUUUCAUCACUUUUUGCCUCAGAGAUCCAUAUGUGGCACUAGAGAUAUUCAAAUGUAGUGUGAGGUCUGUCACAAGUGAAAUGUUUGUAGGCAGUUGUAAAGGCACAGAUUGGUUCUUGAUCAAACCUUGUAUGGCUUUUCUUCUUUAUAGAUACACACUUGCAGUUACUCUUGUUUAUAAGCAUGGUAGAAGAAAAGGAACAGAGUGUAGGGCUGGUGGCCCAACUGUGACCAGCGAGGUCACUUGAGAGAAGGCUUAACUGUUCAAAGAACUGGCAAAUAUGGGUCUUGGCAGCUUCUGUGCUACCAGUUCUAAAAGCCCUUACAAAAGAUUGAGUGAAAUAGGAUCUCCUUAAAAAAAAAAAAAGAAAAAAAAGAAAAUUACUGCACAUACUAAAGUGCUGAUUGUAGAAAGUGACACUAGGAACAUUAGAUGUUUGUGUCACAGUCAAUGAGGACAGCCCUUAAGAGUCAUCGCACGUUGUUAAAAUGUUGCUACUUUUUUUUUUUUCUUUUUUUUUUCCCUUUUGGGAUGCCUUGUAACAGAGUCAGACCAGUUAUGGUAGCAGGCUUAGGGUGCAGGAGGUAUUCAUUCCAUCUGUGACAAUAUUUGUAAUAGAACAUUCCUGGGAGGUCUACUGGCUUAUUUCAAGAUGAUCUUUUUUAUAGAUACUAUCUUUCAUAUGAAUACAUGUUUAAAGCUUUUUUUCCCCUUUGUUCCCUUUUUUUUUUUUGUGAAAAAAUCUAGGAUGCAAAAUUCAAGACAGCAAAAUAAAUUCAAUAUUCACAACUUUCCCA
rnacentral:lncRNA from 1 species